UCACAGGAAAUUCCUAUACUGCCCCCUACACACACUUCCGCCGCCCGGGGCGGGGGGUGGGGUAUGGGCCCUAUAGGUGCCGGGGGGCGCGACGGGGCAGGCCUCAGGGCCUCCGCAGGGGCCUCCGCAGGGGCCUCCCGGGUCGCCCCCGGCCGGCCUGCGAGGUGGGGGUCCACCGGUUCCCAUGGGGGCCGCGGGCGUCCUGCCUGAGGGGGUCCCGCAGUCCUGGGGCGUGAGCUCGGUGGCGGAGAUGUGUGAAGGCGUGUGGUGGUAACACAUGAUGUGUGGUGAGCUCCCACCGCCCGGGCAUGGCUCGGUGGGACUGGUCGGUGACCGGGUGGAGCAGGGUUACAGUGAUUUCCUGAGGCAGUCUGGGUGGUGUUCUUUUACGAAAAGGAGAAAUGCUCGGUGAAGUUGCAUCCUGUCGUUGCUCAGACAACAGUGCUUUCGUUCGAGUGGAACUUGGAAGAAGUUCUGCUGGGAAAUCACAGGCCCAAGACCAGUGGAGGAGUCUGUGAAGAGACAAAAAAUCAUGAAAGGAAUGAAACCAGAGAAAGAUGGGACCACAUCAAGGCCUAGCCGGUGGAAGUAGAUACUGUACUUUGGCCCUGUGAAGAGUCCACAGAAGGUAUUUGACUAUUAACAGCUGAAGCACUCUUACACUAGAGGGAGAGCUGGAAAGAGCUUUAUCGCUGAGCACUUCCCAGCUGUGGCUAUAGGGUUAAAUUAAACACUGGUCUUCCAAAGAGGAGUAUGUUGAUUUCCUGUUCCUUAGCUCACCAACCAUUGCUGGGAAAUACAAUGUGUUUUAGCCUUCACCACUGCCAUAUCUUCUGUUGCCUCCAUCACUCUGUCUUUUCAGCAUUCUCAAGUAGUUCUUCCUCAGUCCUCCCUCUCCCCAGGUGGCCAUUACUGAAUUUAUGAUUCAAAAAUUUGGGUAAAGAUGAGAGGUACAGUACAAAGAGCGCCAUUGACCCUCUGAAGGCACCUGAAAGUGAACUCUAAUGAGCAAGACCAGGUUUUGGGGAAGGGGCAAUUACAAAGAAGAUGGCACAAGGCUUCUCUCUGAGAUGUGCAGCAGCAGGACAAGAGACAAAAAUGAGAAGUUGCACCCAGAGAAGUUCCAGUUGUGGGUAAGAAAAGUUCAAAGUGAGAGUGGCUAAGUACUGGAACACAUUUCCAGAGUGGCUGUGGACUUUCUAUGCGUGGAGAUACAACUAGACUGGACAAAGCUUUGAGCAAUCUAGUAGCAAUCUAGUUCAGCUUUGAAGAUAGCCCUGUUUGGAGCAGGAGGUUGACCUGCAAAGGAUCCUGACCAACUUUAACUUUGCUGUGAUUAUAAAUACACUUCUAAGAAGAAUCCCUGUGGUAUGGGGGAAACAAUAUUGAUGACUCAGUAAUUGUCAUGUCUUGGGGGUUACUGAUACAAUGUCCCAAAGCUCCAGUAGGAAGCCUUGUAGAUGAGCUCAUGUGGCAAGGAUAAGUGCAUUAGUGCUAUUGUAACCUAGUUAAAUAUUAGGUAAUCACACUGUGUCUUCUGUUAGCCAAAUUCAUGUACGUACACUGAUGCUGACCUCUGCACUCUCCCGGGCAGUCAUAGCAUGUUGUGGUAACAAAAAUAAAUGUCAGAAAGUGCUGAGGAUCCCAUGUGAUACAGAAUGUCCUGUUCCAUACAGGGUGUUCCAUAUUAUUAUGUGGUCAAUACAAUUUCUUAUAGAAGGGAAUAUAUAUCUGGCAUGGCUUUCCCUAUAUUUCUGUUGGCACUGGUAUCUUUCUGGAUGUGCAGGAUGCCAUGUAUUGGGAGAAGUCAGACUGCUCUGUAUGGUCAGAUAAAACAUGCAUGUGCAAGAGGUCUGAUGCCAGACUGUUGCUUACUGUGCAACUUCUCUGAGCAUGUGCAGCAAGACAAUAUUACAUACACUGUGAAUCUGACAUGUCAGACUUGCUUUGCAUGCAUGAUUUAUUUCUCUGGGACUAUCCUAGAUAUCAGCCUGCAAAAUCUGGCUGUGUAUACUGUGGUGUAUCACUCAUUUUCAGAUACGUUAGGAAGUUCUGUAUAGCCAGGAUUUGGAAAGAUGGUAGGCCAUCAUGUCAGUGCUUCAAGCAGAUGUUCCCACACUUACAACAGGCAGAAUUACAGCAUACUUGGACUAUUGGUUUGGGGUUUUUUCUCUCCACAUCUUGAUAGGCAUAAAUGUUCACUCUAACAGUUCCUAAAUUCCCUUCUGGCCAUUGUGUGCAGCAGGAGCUGGCAGAUAUUCCACAGAAAAGCCUUGCACUGAUUUUGUCCCAUGGGGCUUUCCAAGUUUAAGAGCGUCUCCUGUAGCCUGUGUUCCUUAAUAUUUGUGUGUUGGUUUCAUGUCCAGGUCUCAGAUGGGUUAUCGGUGUUUCUGUGUGAGAUUAGAUUUAUCCUUCUAUUGUUGUUUUACUUUUCCUACUGGAGGGCCGCUCCCCUGCCUUUUACUUCUUGCUGGCUCUCAAGGCAAUUGUUAUUUCAGGCUUGUUGAUUGUGUCUGCCAACUCCCACAUAGCUCCUAGAGCCUAACCCUGAGUGGGGUAACACACUACUUUCUAUUGCCUAUCCACUGAAUCAGGACCUGCCUCUCCCCAGAGGACAUGUACACUAGUCCUUUCUCUCUGCUUUUGCUGUUUUCUCUAGAGGGUUGUAUUGCAGUGAGCUCUUACACCUGGAACUAGACUUUCAAGACCAGGCAUGUAGACAGUAGUAUCUCAUAUCCACUCUGGAAUGGGCAGAGAGGGGAAAUUAUUACGUAAUCACCAGCAGAUUAUAUCUUAACAUUAAGCUUGUGAAUAGCUCCUUGGAGCCCUGUGAUUACUUAGUUGUUUUUUUUUCCUUCUUAAUCGGGAAUAUGUGGUUUUCCCGAGCUCACGUUUAAAAGCAAGUGAACUGCCAGAUCCUCCUUGCUUGCUUUGGACAAGAGAGUAAAGUACAUCAGCUUUGGCACAUACUCUCUUACUUAAGACCUCAUUAAGUUUCAAAUAGCUGCUGUAAUAAAGGACACAAGACACCACCAAUAACCCAGCACAAAAGUGCUUCUGCUGCAUGCUUGAAAAUAGUGUUAUACCAGAACUAUGCUGCCUUGAGAUGCAGGAGGGGGAAACAGAGUCAUGGCCCAACAGCAUUACACUCAAACUCUCAGGAGGACACUCAUGCAAGGAAGAAGUUCCUUCUGAGCUAACAGUAAGAAGUAAGAUGUUAAAUCCAUGUGAUUCCAUGACCUUUAAGCAUUACAAUUUGCAGAAGAGUUUAUUCAGAUCUUUUUCUAAAGGCUUCUAGUGCCUUGUACUUGAAUGUUUUUUUUGUCUUUGACUGAUCUAUUUGGGUCUUUGGCUCUAAACCAACCUGAUUUUUCACGUAGAAAAUGUAGUGUUCUCCUGUUUUCUAAAAUGCUUGUUUUUUUUUGAAGAGGGUACAAUCUAUAGGAUAUAGGUGGACACUGACAGUGGUUUGUGGCGAGUAAUACACUUUAUUUGAAUCUUUGCCUCACAAAUAACACAGGAAUUUCAAAUACAUGCAGAUUAAACCUUUAUGCUUUUGUGGCUUCUCUCUUAAGGAAGACUGCCAAAAAGGUUUCUGAAGCAUGGCGUGGUAGGUAGGUUUUACUGACAUUCAUUUGGCUGCAUUACUCAUUACCAGUUUGACUAAUGGGAAGGACACCCUGUAUGUUGUCAUUACUAUUUUUAUCCAUCAGCACAAGAUGAUACAUCUGUAGAACUUUUAAAGUAAUUCCUAGUUUUCUAUAAAUACUAAUAACUUCUUUGUAAGCAACUCCUGUUUAAUGACACUUCUUCAGAAUGCCACAUUUGAGAGACUAGUGUGUCCUGCUGCAUACACUCAGAGCUGGGAGGCACGGUGGGAAGUAGUUCCAGCUGGAAGGAGGAAGGGAAGUUUUCAGGGUAUAGGUCUUGUAACUCUUGGGCCUAGCUAGAAUCUCAUGCAUAGAGUUCAUUAGAUAGUAAAGGGCAGUCGUUGCUGCUCAGUUAGUUUGGUUGCUUUAAAAAUACACACAUUCAGGUAUUCAACUUGUGCUGAUUUAUGCUUUGACAGUGGACACACGUCAGUCUUCUCAUUUCUGAAGAUGUAUUCAUCACGGGUUGUCAAGUUCAGUUGUCAUUUUUAUUUGCCAUUUCUGUUUGUACAGAUCAGGCUGCAAAUUCUUCUUUCAUGUUUGUUUUAGAGGUUUCCAUAGGCAGGAAUACUCAGUACUCUUGUAUUGUUCUGAGUGACACUGAAAUGCAAAUAAGUAACACUGAAACUUGGAAGAGUGUUAAUUAGACAUUAUUAUAACCUGACUUGGCACUAUGGUAUCUUGCCAAACUGGCUUUUUAUUCUUACGCGUGUCUGAUUUGUGUUUGUGGCAGGAUGCUAAUGAUUUCAUGGAAUUGUUUGGCUUAAUCCUGCUUUCUUUACAAUGCACAAGUUUUAUGUGACGAAGAGUAAGUCACAUAUCAGAAUGAGGUUCACUGGGUAUGACCCGUGGUGAUUAUCCCAAAUAAUAUUUAGUAUAGAUUUCUGUUUUAUUAAGUACAGGUAGAUAACACAUUUGGCCUGUUAUUUGUUUCCUUAAAUGAGAUUUGCAUCAGUUUAAGACUGGCUACACGUAUGUGAUUCCCCUGGUUGUUUUGUUGUAAUUCUUACUGGUGUGAAGUCACACAGGGUCCUUUAAAAUAAAUUAGCAUUUAUGGAAUGACAUCAUUAAUCCACAGAAACAUAAGACCGAAUUUGUUGUAACUUCUGAUCAUGUUGCCAUCCUUGUAGCUCUGCUGAAGAAGAGCAAUUUAGGCCACUGUGAACAAGGAUUGCUGUGUCUAGCUGGACCAGAAUCUCACUUAAAGAGGUCUCUAAGUUAAAAGAGAAGUAGAUCUUAUCUUUACAUCUGUAUGUUCUACACAGACAUCAAAAGGCUAUUUCUUAAAGUCUUUGAAGUGAGAUGGGUCUAACACUUAGCCUGCUCCUCCUUCCAGCACCCACAGGGACACUGGGCUUUGGGCUGGGGUUAUGGAAGCGGCAGGUCUCCUGCCUUAGCCGGCCUGCCCAGCUGCUUGCCAUGCUUAUUAGCUGGGGUGGGGUGCCCUGAUGACACACCUUUGGAGCAUCUUGUUUUGGAGUUAGUUGGUAGGAGUGCUGUGCUCAGCUGUGCAGUCAUAUCCUACCUUUAACUACAGGUUUAUAUGAGUAAUAUGUCAGGUAGCUAAACCAAAGUUAUUCAGAAUAUUUAGCACAGGUGAUGCAAAUACCAAACCCUGUGGGACCCUGCUCCGUGGCCAGUGCUGUGUUCAGUAAUUGUUGGUGUGGUUUGACAUGUGGGGUUGUGAGCAGCACAGCAGCAUUCUCAGUAUGACACAUCAUUCUGUCUUUUUUGCAUCUCCUGUUUUGAGUAAUUUUUUGUAAUAUCUCAGGAAGAAUUCCUGGAGGUUAUUUUUUCUGCUUCUCUAGGAAAGUAUGUGGUAGUAGCCACAGUUCAACAUUACAUUACGUUGCAUUACUUAUGCAGUAUUUUAAACAUCCAUGAACCAGUAAUUGCUAUAGGUCCAGGCAAAGUGAACCCUAUUUUUGUAGAUAUUUAGUACAGGCAUAAAAUGAAUGUCUGGCUAUGCCCCAGUAAGCUUACAGUUUAGAAAAAGAAGACAAAAUUGGAAGUUAGCAUAAACAGAACAGUAUGAAUAGAGGGGAUUUCACUGUAGUUUUUUUUCUUGAUGUUGGUCUGAGUCUUUCAAACUAUUGAAAAGGAAGUUAUUAUUGAGAAGCGGUGGGAAGGGGAAAGGGAAGACAAAUAGUGGCCCAAUAGUGUGAAGGGAAAGAGUAGAAAGAAUAAAUUUGAAUCAGAGAAGCUUUUGGUAACUGACUUCAUAGAAAUAAUACAAUAGCAAGGGGAGAAAAAGCCCAUGGUCAAAUCGCAUCAGGAGUCAGUUCAGAAUUUCCAAAUAGGUUGCUGAUGCUUGCUGGCAGCUUUUAACUUCAGCUGGAAGAAAAGAGCCUCUUUUCUCCACAAACCAGAAUUAAUCUGUAACGCUUUUCUCCUCCAACUCAAGUGACUUGUGUUAAGGGAGCAGCUUUCAGACAAGGACCCUGGAUCAAGUCCUGUUUGGGUACAGUGGAAGAUUUCCAGCUGUAUUUUAAAGCACCAUUCACCUCUUGUGUCUGAACUGUUAAUUUGCAGUGGGGUCACUCCCAACUUACACUACUGCUAGGACAUUAAUGGUCUAAGUAACUGCACCUGCUAUGUUAAUGAAAGUGUGCAUAAUAGCUCUAGUAAUUUAGAAAAUUAGGUAUUGUGUUGGGGUGGGGAGGAGGAGGAAAGGGUAUAAGGGGUGAGAACUUGGUCAAAAGAAAUAUAGAUUUCAGAUCACUUGCUGUAUUAUUACCACAGUGUUAUCAGUGCUGUCAGUAUAAUGCCUUCGCUAUUUUACUGGCUGUAUUCAGAUUUGCAGUUGAAUGUGUUGAAGAGUGAGAGGGCUUUUUGAGUAAGGAGAGAGGGAAUUGGAAUAAUGUUAAUUACAAAAAUAAAUAAUCCUCCCUAUUCUUUUGAUGGCAGUGUUUUAAGAUUGUGAGAGCAAUCCCUAAUAGGAGAUAGGCCAUUAGACAUCGCUGAAUCAAAAUCAUAGGAAAACGGGACUGGAAGGGACUUUGAGAAAUCCAUUCCUUGCUCCAGUCUGCAAACACAUACACCAGUGUGAGUCCUGAUAAAUAUUUGUCUAACCUGUUUUUGAAAUCCUUCACAGCCUCCUCAUGCAAUCUAUUCAAGUCCUUAACUGUGCCUACUGUUAAAAAAACAUUUCUAAUGCCUAAUCUAAACCUUCCACCUGCAGUUUACACCCAUUACUUCUUAUCGUGCCAUGCUGGGCAUGAAGAACAGCUUAAUUCUCUUCCUCUCUGCAUCCAUCUUUUAUGUAUUAGAUAAUGCUUAGUUCUUUUGAGUGUGCCUUUUUGGGUACAUCUGGGCUUGGAUGAAAAUAGGUUAAAGGUAAAAAUAAGGCAGAAAAUAAAUCCAUUUCUGGCUGAGACAGUCAUUUUAGCCAAUCAGCCAGCGAGUGUCUGAAAUGGCAGAGUUGGAAAAUGCUGGGUAGGGCAGGGUGGUUUGCUUAAGGCGAUAUGAGGCCCUAAACAUAGUGCAUAAGAGAGGCUGGUGCCUGCCAUGUGUUACACAUCUCUUACGACAGUGCCUGUCUGGCAUUUCUGUCUCAGCUGCCCAUGUCUCAGCCUGUAUCUCUCACCCGUCACCUGAUCUGUGGCCAGGAACCGUGGGUGCUUUUGUCGAGCCUCAUUUUCAGGGAUUAAGUUAGUUCUCUGCUUCCAUUUUUAGUUCUCUCUAUUUCCAAAGUCAGACAUGGGUGAGAAAAAGGGGAUGGGAAAACUUGAAACGUGGCAACAGCUACAAGUUGCCCACCUGGUGGGGAUAGUUAGAACUAUACCCACACUCCUUCAGUCAGCCUUCAAACGCCAAACUCCAGUAUAUGCCAGGAAAUGCUUUCCUCCUUUCUUCACCUCUUACAGGGCCUGGCAAAGAUCCCAAAAACUGUUGUCCAGAAUGCUCCCUAACACGAAUCCCUGACUGAUUUCAGCACCUGCUCCAGACCAGUGUCCUGUAGCAUGUGUACUACAGAGGCUUCCCAAGCAUCCUGCAGAUACUGUGGUGGCCCCAAGUACUUAGGAGCACCAGCCUGCUUGGCAUGACACGCUUUGACUGUCCACUGUGUCCUUUCCCGUAUGUUCACAGCUAUGCCAGCCCUUCCUGAUGGUAUUCAUGCAGAGGGUGUGAAGUCUAAACUGAAAUUUUAUGGUUACAUGGUUUAAAUUAUAUAGAAUAUAUAGUAGUACCCCGUAUAAUUGCAGAUAAUUUACUUGUUGCAGCCUGUGCUUUGGAUCAAUAGAGCAGCUUUCCAGUACUCCAGAUGUAAGGUAUAAACGUGGAUCUGCAAACUUGAAUAGGCACUGAUUAUACUGGCCUCACAUUUCUGUGAUGAAGACCACAAACUUACUUUGCAAUUAAAGCACAUGACAACUCAUGUUCUUCUGCUAGUUGUGUGAUUCUGAGAGCUGGGACCUGAAACAGAAAGCUACAGUGUUUCAUAUACUGCCAAAAUGUUUAGACUUUCUUUGAGUGAAUGGGCCUCUUAAAAAAUGGAGAGGAAAUAACUGAUUCUGCUGUUGCAUAAUUCGUGAAAUAGGGAGCCUAUUGAAACUGUUCCUCAAGUCCAUGAAGUCUGGAAUUGCUGCAUUCCACUCCAGCAGUGAAAAUACUUCACAAAUGUGCAGUGCGACAGAAUUUUACCUGUAGAAACAACUUGAAAAACAAAUCUCCAUUUCUGCUGUAGUUUCUAAAAGAACACUGUUAACUCUGAUUUUCAUUUUUAUAGAGGAAACCAUUUCCUCAUCUUGGAAUGGGGGUGGCUAUUAAUGCCAUGAAAUGAACCUGGAGAAGUCCUCUAAGUGUAGAGCUUACUGUUGAUAAUUGUGACACCCAGUGGUCAUUUAAAGAACCAUAAGAACGUAGUGUAGAAUGCAAUGAACCUAAGGCUACAUAAAAUACUGAGGUUUACACAAUAAAUGUGUGCUUUUAAGGGUA